UACGUAGGGGGCAAGCGUUGUCCGGAUUUAUUGGGCGUAAAGAGCGUGUAGGCGGUUUGGUAGGUCCGCUGUGAAAACUCGAGGCUCAACCUCGAGACGCCGGUGGAGACCAUCAGGCUAGAGUCCGGAAGAGGAGAGUGGAAUUCCUGGUGUAGCGGUGAAAUGCGCAGAUAUCAGGAAGAACACCCGUGGCUAAGGCGGCUCUCUAGUACGGUACUGACGCUGAGACGCGAAAGCGUGGGGAGCGAACAGG
rnacentral:rRNA from 1 species